UUCAUUUACAUAUAUUAUAAUCCAUAGUAGUCAAUUGAUUUCAAACGAAUUUAAUGCGAGACAUCAUGCAUUUCUGAAUAUUAACUCCCCCCCAAGUUAUCAAUCUUCUGCGUUCUCUGUUAAUAAGAAGAUUAGUCAUGACUACUGCAUGUCAGAUGUAAAGUUUUUUUCUCUAUGAUUGGAACUCAACUUGUCGAACUACUCACUUCGAUUGAAUAAAAUAUUGAACAUCGCAACCUGUUGUGUACAAUAUUUAGGGAAUUUAGAAAAACAUUUGUUCUUAACGACAAACUUUUGCGUGUUUCCUGAUAAUGAUAACUUUAACGAAUAUACAUUUUCAUAACUUUUUGGUUAUCUGACUAGAAGCUUGUAAUUACAAUCAUCAAAUAAUCCACAUGCUGUUAUAACUAUGUAGCUACUAAAGAAUCUUUGUUAAAACUCAAUUGUCUUUGCAAUUUCAUAGUUUUAAUACAUUGUGUACACAAAGAUAAUUCUCAAGUACAGGAUUUGUAUGUUUUUUAUAAAGAGAUUGCUUUAAAGAACAGUAAUUGCAAACAAUUAUCAUGUAGAAUAAAUGUGAUUUUUUCAACUUCGAA